rnacentral:rRNA from 1 species
AUUGAACGCUGGCGGCAUGCCUUACACAUGCAAGUCGAACGGCAGCACGGAGCUUGCUCUGGUGGCGAGUGGCGAACGGGUGAGUAAUAUAUCGGAACGUACCCUAGAGUGGGGGAUAACGUAGCGAAAGUUACGCUAAUACCGCAUACGAUCUAAGGAUGAAAGUGGGGGAUCGCAAGACCUCAUGCUCGUGGAGCGGCCGAUAUCUGAUUAGCUAGUUGGUAGGGUAAAAGCCUACCAAGGCAUCGAUCAGUAGCUGGUCUGAGAGGACGACCAGCCACACUGGAACUGAGACACGGUCCAGACUCCUACGGGAGGCAGCAGUGGGGAAUUUUGGACAAUGGGCGAAAGCCUGAUCCAGCAAUGCCGCGUGAGUGAAGAAGGCCUUCGGGUUGUAAAGCUCUUUUGUCAGGGAAGAAACGGUGAGAGCUAAUAUCUCUUGCUAAUGACGGUACCUGAAGAAUAAGCACCGGCUAACUACGUGCCAGCAGCCGCGGUAAUACGUAGGGUGCAAGCGUUAAUCGGAAUUACUGGGCGUAAAGCGUGCGCAGGCGGUUUUGUAAGUCUGAUGUGAAAUCCCCGGGCUCAACCUGGGAAUUGCAUUGGAGACUGCAAGGCUAGAAUCUGGCAGAGGGGGGUAGAAUUCCACGUGUAGCAGUGAAAUGCGUAGAUAUGUGGAGGAACACCGAUGGCGAAGGCAGCCCCCUGGGUCAAGAUUGACGCUCAUGCACGAAAGCGUGGGGAGCAAACAGGAUUAGAUACCCUGGUAGUCCACGCCCUAAACGAUGUCUACUAGUUGUCGGGUCUUAAUUGACUUGGUAACGCAGCUAACGCGUGAAGUAGACCGCCUGGGGAGUACGGUCGCAAGAUUAAAACUCAAAGGAAUUGACGGGGACCCGCACAAGCGGUGGAUGAUGUGGAUUAAUUCGAUGCAACGCGAAAAACCUUACCUACCCUUGACAUGGCUGGAAUCCCCGAGAGAUCAGGGAGUGCUCGAAAGAGAACCAGUACACAGGCGCUGCAUGGCUGUCGUCAGCUCGUGUCGUGAGAUGUUGGGUUAAGUCCCGCAACGAGCGCAACCCUUGUCAUUAGUUGCUACGAAAGGGCACUCUAAUGAGACUGCCGGUGACAAACCGGAGGAAGGUGGGGAUGACGUCAAGUCCUCAUGGCCCUUAUGGGUAGGGCUUCACACGUCAUACAAUGGUACAUACAGAGCGCCGCCAACCCGCGAGGGGGAGCUAAUCGCAGAAAGUGUAUCGUAGUCCGGAUUGUAGUCUGCAACUCGACUGCAUGAAGUUGGAAUCGCUAGUAAUCGCGGAUCAGCAUGUCGCGGUGAAUACGUUCCCGGGUCU